CUUUAUAUUUCCAUUUCAAAAUUAUGGCUUCGAUGACGCUGUUCAUUAUUUUUUCACCGCAAGUCGGGUGCCAUUACAAAGAAGUGGCUGGUUUAUAUUCCGCAACAUAAUAAUUACCGCUCCGAUCUUUAGUUGCAGAUUAUGAGGUGGUAGUCCGGGAAAUUCCAUCGAAUUUAAGAACUCCGUUGGAUAGUUGACCACAUCAUCUUGUUCCACAAAUCAAUCGGUGUUGAUGGGAAGCAUGUAGACAAAAGUAUGGCAAACAAUGUUAGUAUUUGUAUAGCAUUUGACGAAAUCACAGCAUCUUCGAGAGUGUGAUCCCAAUGAGUGUCAUUCUCGAGCAGUCCUAUACGUUGACAUGCUUCUCUGUAUAUGCCGCACAAUACGCCAUUAACAGUUCGCAGAUGUUGGAAUGAUGUUGGGCCACGAACAUUGAUUAACAGUAAACGCAAAUAAAAACACUCGUCUUGGCUGGGAUGCACUGUGUAAAGACGUCCUAGUGCAUCUGUUGAGAAUACUUGUUGGUAAUUUGGAACUGGCUGUCCUUGUUUUCGUCGUUGAAAUUUCUUUAAUGAUUGAUUCGUGGCAUUUCGGAAUAAAGCAGUGUUCUUGCAAAGUCAUCAUUCUGGCACAUUUCAAAGAAGCUUGUCAAUGCUGUUGAUGGCAGCCUCUCAAUUCUUUGUAAUACGUUUAUCGUUGGUAUCUUUCAGGUAUUGGAAAUGAAAAAAUACGCCACAUCGCCUCAUUACUACUGAGUUAUCUCGUUUGAAUUUUCGGCAGCAACUCCGAACACAGCCAUGUCACUACCUUUGUUCACGUACUUGGAGAUAUAUUUUAUUGGUUUUAAGGAAUGGCAAUAUUCUACAUUUAUGUGUGCUUUAAAUGUUUUGGAGAGUAACGGCGAAAACGGAACAACCCAAUGAUUAUCAACUUCAAUGUCAUGCUGAUUUACUUUGAUUGUUUUUGUCCUUCCGUUGUCGUCAGUGGAUCGCCUGCGAUAAAGUGGGUUACCAUCAUUUCCACUAAUCGUUUCUGCUACUAAUUGUCUUGGAAAGCGUUUUGAACAUUUUCCAUUCACCAUACACG